AAUACAAAUUGAUGAGCUCUUCCUGGGGUACGAUUGAUUUACUACAUGGUGGCAGUGACUAAUCUUGCUGGCUAUUGUCCCGCUUAGUGCUUUUGUCUCUUACCAUUUCUUUUUUUUUUCCCCCCUUUUUUUUAUUUUUUAAAUUUAUUUAUUUAUUUAUUCGACAGAGAGAGACAGCGAGAGAGGGAACACCAGCAGGGGGAGUGGGAGAGGGAGAAGCAGGCUUCCCGUGGAGCAGGGAGCCCGAUGUAGGGCUCGAUCCCAGAACCCUGGGAUCAUGACCUGAGCCGAAGGCAGACGCUCAACGACUGAGCCACCCAGGAAUCCUGGUCUUGAUGUUAGAGAAGAAGAAAAACCCCUAGGGGCCUCAGACCUCAAUAGAAGGCAAGAUGUUUACAACUGGCUGUGAGCGAAAGGACUCACUUCUGGGUGAGAAAAGACAAUCUGAACAAGCAGUCAUUCUGCAAGCCCUUCUCUAGGUUUUGCAAAUUCUUAUCAGGAUGCGGUGAAGCCCCAGAUAAUGCCUUCACCUUCCUCCUAAUUGGGGAAGCUAGUUAAAUUUAUACUCUGAUUAUUGGCUCAGGAGAAGUGGGAUAAAAUAACCUGGUCUGUUGAAAAGUCGAAAUGUUCUUUUCAACAACUGGGCCCCCACCUCCCCUCUACAAGGAAGAGCCUGUGUCCCCCGAUCUGCCUGGGCUGGCCCUGGACAGGGGGACCCCUGCUCAGAAGGGGGUUAGGAAAUGCCAGUCUCACCAGCAAAGGGGUAAGUGAGGGCCGGUGGCAUCCCCCCCAGUCCGGUUCACUCUGAGCCGUGGGGUACACGUGACGGGAGGGGAUACAUCUGGGCUGCUAAAAGGUCACCUGAGGCCCAUGUUGAGGGCGUUUGGGCACAUCUGGACUUAGCGGGAGUCAGGUGGUGAUGUCUGCAGCACCAUGGGAUGUGGCCUUGGAAGUCUUGCCACUUACUGAGUGCUCACAGAAUAGGAGUUCUUGGGGAAAGGCCCCAAGGCCCCUGGGACAUUGGGAUUGGCUUGCUCUGACUUGUCUCUGACCCGGACCCUUCCCCGGUGACUAGAAAUCAGCGCUCCUGCUGUAACACAAUUCACUUCUGCUCCCUAGGGCCCGGCGGGGAGCUGCGGUUCAGUAAGAGAAGCAAGGCCCUCUGAGUCGGGUAGAACCUGGAGGUGAGAGCUGGGAAGAUAAGCCCGGAGGGGAAGGCAUGGCCACAUCCGUGGAUAGGCCACGGUAGCACGUUGUCAUUCAGCGUGGCUGAUGGAAGCCCAGCGAUGGUCCUCUGGGUGAUGCACUCUAUUUAGCCAUCAGUUUGCAGACGGUGCUGGUGGAACAUAAUCAUAGAAAUUAUAACAGUGGUCACUAACUGAGCCCCGCCUGUAUACCAGGCACUGUGCAUGACCUACGCCCUCCAGGCUCGGGCUUUAAAUGACGGGCACUGGUCAGAACCAGAACUCUGUGCCUCACCUCAAACUCCAUCCCCCUCCUUCUAUCCAGCCACCAGA